UAAGAUGUUUCACAAAUUCAGCUUUAAUUACAGUACAGUGGUAUAUAAGUAGCUUUGAACAUAAAACAAAGCAUUUGCGAUUUAUAUCCAAUAUCACCAUAGUGUGCACCCAUUAUAUAUAUAUAUACAUAUAUAUUGUAUAUAUAUUAUACAUAUAUAAAUAAAACUGGAAGAAAGAAUGCAAAGUUGGCAAGAUCUAUAAAUAACCAACGAAUUACGUAAGCACAAUAAAGCAAUUAAAGAAAAACCAAAAUGAAAAAAUAGAUAAAAAAGUUCAUUUCAAUUAUAAGCAGGAGAACUUGGCUUAAUAAGUGAAGUGUAAGGGUUGAAGGAUGGUAGUAUGAUUGAAGUGUGCGAAAGCUAUUUCCACCACAGCUUUUUUUGUCAAAUGAUUCACAGAUUGCACUUGAUUUCAAUGCAAAGUAACGUGUGCUCACGCGAUGACGGAAUAUCAGUUGCAGGAUGCAGAUAAAAGCAAGUUUUCUUUAAAUGAAAAGACUGCAAAUAUGUUAUACAAAAAAAAAAAACGACGUGACGUCAGUAUUUUUAUUAAAUAUAAAAAUGGUAUAUACCCAAGUAUACAGUAUGUGCAAUAACAAAUUAUAUUAUUUGCACAGCAUUCGUCGGCUAUUAGACAACACAGGUCGAGCUAUUAAUAUUAAAUAUCACCCAAUUAACUGUAUCCGUUCGUUGAGACUGAAUAAUAAACAACAAUUUAAUGGCAAAACGCCGCUUUGUUUGUUGUUCUUGGAUGCACAGUUUUACUAGUUUCACUGACUGUUGAUUGCCACGUUCAAAAUUCGAUUAAGUCAAUAUCAAAUUCACGCUUUCAAUUACUUGUCAUUCGCCUGAAGCGGGUAAGUGUCUUAUGCGACAUUGCUUAACGAAGAUAGCGGGAUAAGUCAGCGACAAUUUUAAUGCAAAACCGCGCCUGUCAACUACAAAAUCUUAAAGUAGACGCGGGUAGUUUGGAAAAAUUCAUUUCUGAAUUAUCAUCAGGAUUUUUAACAGAAUUCCUUUCGAGAGGGCUCUUAAAAUCACAGGUCAGUUUGAAUACCAGAUAUAUGCUAUAGUGGAUUGAUCUAAACAAUUUGUUUGGGGAUUGUAGCGCUGCCUUUGACAAUAAUUUAUGGCAAGUUUCGUGAAAAUAUCUUGUCCAAUAAAAAAGUUUUCCAUACAAAAAUUUGAUCUUGAUCGAUCAGUUUGUAUGGUGACUUUAUACUAGUACAUGGUUCCGACAAAUUUGUAGCUUUAUACAAUACAACAAAAACUGCUCCGGAUAGGUACGUCACAAAAGUUUAAGAGACCUUUCUUCGACGGAUAUUAGCAUAAAAAUCUAUCUGACGUAAUAUAGCCAUCAUACUCGCAUCUGGCGACUAAGCCCACUAUCUUAAGUUAAAGUAGCAACUCGAUGACAAUAUAUUUGAUCAAAUUUAUUAACCUUCUAUCCUGUAGCUAUAAAAAAAGGUAAUAUUUUUCGCUCGCAAUGUUUGUUGGUAUUUAUAGAAGACAAAAAAUUCAAACUAAACGCGCAACAUGUCACCGCUGGUAGUGCCCAAAGGCGUACGAAUAUUUCCGAGUAUUGGUGUUUGUAUUUGCAUAAGAUCAGCGCUGAUGCAUUCCCCUAACUGUUUUUUGGAUAUAUAGUAAAAUACACGGAACGUCAAGCGCUACAACGUAAGACAGUCUUUAGUGAUGGCGAGCAAUGAAGACGAGCUAAACGCUUAUGUUCACAAGUUUAUUUUAAUUCCAACAAAUUAAAAAAUAUAAAAAUACAACAACUUGUUGGAAAAAACAAAAAAACAAUAUAGUAAUUGCUUACACAAAUAUAUUUAUACAAGGCAGUUGACUUUUCAGAUGAUUUGCAGUCAAGUGCAUGACUUUGAAAGCGAUCAAGCGCUAUGAGAAAGUAAAAUAUGUACAACAAUAUAUAUACUUGUAUUGAAUACUUAUGAACAAAUAUGUACUUAUAUAUACGUAGUAUAGCAGUAAAAAUUUCAUUUGAAUUUUAUUUAAUAAAUAUAUAUAUAAUUGCUUUUUCAUUAUCAACAAA